GACGAACGCUGGCGGCGUGCCUAAUACAUGCAAGUUGAGCGCUGAAGGUUGGUACUUGUACCAACUGGAUGAGCAGCGAACGGGUGAGUAACGCGUGGGGAAUCUGCCUUUGAGCGGGGGACAACAUUUGGAAACGAAUGCUAAUACCGCAUAAAAACUUUAAACACAAGUUUUAAGUUUGAAAGAUGCAAUUGCAUCACUCAAAGAUGAUCCCGCGUUGUAUUAGCUAGUUGGUGAGGUAAAGGCUCACCAAGGCGAUGAUACAUAGCCGACCUGAGAGGGUGGUCGGCCACAUUGGGACUGAGACACGGCCCAAACUCCUACGGGGGGGAGCAGUAGGGAAUCUUCGGCAAUGGACGAAAGUCUGACCGAGCAACGCCGCGGGAGUGAAGGAGGUUGUCGGAUCGUAAAACUCUGUUGGUAGGGAAGAACGGUGGUGGGAGUGGAAAGCUCAUCAAGUGACGGUAACUACCCAGAAAGGGACGGCUAACUACGUG
rnacentral:rRNA from 1 species